CUCAUCUCUUGCGGAGGCAGGAGGUGUCAGCAGGAGAAGCUCUCCCAUGACAUAGUGUUGUCUACAACAGUGCUUAGGUCAAUGAAACUUAUAUCGCUCAGGGAGUGGAUUAUUCACAUCCCUGAGUGACGAAAAUUAUACUAAAAGUAACCUGUAGUGUAGACAAGGAAAACAAUUUUUAACAUCAUGUGUCUAGAUAACAGUAAGCCACUCCAAAGGUGAAAGCAUUAAAGAAGGAGGAAGAGCAUCUGUGAGUACUCACGAAGAUAGGAGGGAUGUUAGGACUAGGGUAGGAAUCAGGGGUUUAAGACCCACUUGAGCAAGGUUCUUAACACACGAGUAGACCCACUGAUUUCACUUGGACUAGUCAUGUCUCAUAGUCAGACACAUGUUUAAAUACCUUACAGAGCCAGGGCCUUACAGAGUAAAGGAGGAGAGACUGUACACCAGAAUUAGAGGUGGUUGGAUGGAUUCCCAAACUGGCGCAACUCCACUACCUUCAGUGCAGUCACUCUGGCUUUACAGCAGUGUGGCUGAGAUCAGUCUUUAACCCACUGCAGUCAUAUUGGUCAGUAGGAAAGGGACACAGAGGUGGAAGAUGAAUAGUUCAGAAUUGGAGUUUGGGAGUAUGCAGAUUGAGUGAACUCUGUAUUGAUGAGGGCUGAGUCUAGAUGUUGUAGAUGUAAGAGGUUCCAAGUCAACCUGUUUCUGGCUCUGACUUUGUCCAAGGGCAGGAUUUACACAGUACAGUUUAUGAAGUUAUUCAGCAUAUUCCAGAACAACAGGAAGACCAUCAAGAAGGUACAUGAAGAUGCAAGCACAGCAAAUCAAGACAUCCUAAUGCAAAUGUUAACUUCUGUGUCUUUACUGGAAAUGGAAAGCAAAUGUCUGCCGCUCUCAAAAUGGCAAAAGGACUAAGCUAGCUUCUAAAAUGAUAAUACUUUCUUAAUCUAGCCAUUCUUUUUUCUUUCUUGCUCCUAACAUACUGGAUUUGGUUAUUGAUUUUGUUUAACUAAUGGUUUCUUGAAGCUGCUGGGAUUUUUUAAUUGCUGAAAAUUUUUUGCAUUCUGAACUGCAAAAAGAAAACAGAGCCAAAAGAAAAUAUAGAUAAUAAAUACUAUAUCAUUAAGUCUGGGAUUGCUGCC
rnacentral:lncRNA from 1 species